AAAAUAUAAGCUCAAAUGCCACAAAAUUUGUAUGUAUAACUUUUUGACACAAAAAUUUACGUUUUCCAAAAGUUUGAGCCAAAAAUUCAUCCGCAUACUCAAGUUAUGGCUCCAACCAUCACUACAAACAAAACCGCUUACUUACUACCUUUGAUUUGGAAGCGCCACCUUCAACUCCUUAUAACUCCUUCAUAUAAACUCCAAAAGCAAUAAUUCUUUCAUAAAAAAUGUAGGCCUUAAAAUCGCCGUUCCAGUCGCACCUUCCGAUCUUCAAAAGUUGCUGUAAAACUCCUCGUACUCUCAAAAAAGUAACAUUAUAUCUUAAAUAAACACCUUAACUUCAAACGGCUAUAACUUUUUCACCUUAACUCCAAAUCCUCUAAUUUUUGUACACAAAUUAUAU
rnacentral:lncRNA from 1 species